UAUAGGGUCAAGCGAACAAGUGCAUGUGGUGGAUGCCUUGGCGAUUACAGGCGAUGAAGGACGUGGUAGCCUGCGAAAAGCCUCGGGGAGCUGGCAAACGAGCUUUGAUCCGAGGAUGUCCGAAUGGGGAAACCCAACCCGCAAGGGUUACCUGAACCCGAAUCCAUAGGGUGAAUGGGGCAAACCUCCUGAACUGAAACAUCUCAGUAGGGAGAGGAACAGAAAUCAACCGAGAUUCCGAGAGUAGUGGCGAGCGAAAUCGGAGCAGCCAGCAUCUUUUAGCUGUGUGUCUAGCAGAACGGUCAUGGAAAAGCCGGCCAUAGUGGGUGAUAGCCCCGUAUGCGAAAGACGCGCAGUGGAACUAGGGAUGCGACAAGUAGGGCGGGACACGUGAAAUCCUGUCUGAAGAUGGGGGGACCAUCCUCCAAGGCUAAAUACUCGUAAUCGACCGAUAGCGCACCAGUACCGUGAGGGAAAGGCGAAAAGAACCCCGGGAGGGGAGUGAAAUAGAUCCUGAAACCGCAUGCAUACAAACAGUGGGAGCCCCAGCUCCAUGAGCCUUCGGGUUCUUUCGACGAGCGAGCUUGCGCGAAGCGCGAGCCGAGCGAGUCAAAAGAACUUCCCGAUGAAAUAGAUCCGGGGAGUUCUUUCGACGAGCGAGCGCACACGCGAAGCGUGUGGGUGUGCGAGUCAAAAGAACUUUCGAUGAAAAUAGAUCCUGGCCCUUAUGGGGCAGGUAAUCUGACCCGCGGCGGGUCAGAUAGCAACGGUCGAUGGGACCGAGCCGGUGACUUCGUUUCGCGUUUUGUGCGAAACGAAAGGCACCCCAGCUCGAUGAGCCCAUCGAGGGCUCAUCGAGCUGGGGUGACUGCGUACCUUUUGUAUAAUGGGUCAGCGACUUACAUUCAUCAGCAAGCUUAACCGUCUAGGGUAGGCGCAGCGAAAGCGAGUCCGAACAGGGCGUUUAGUUGGUGGGUGUAGACCCGAAACCGGAUGAUCUACUCAUGGCCAGGAUGAAGGCAGGGUAACACCUGCUGGAGGUCCGAACCCACUACUGUUGAAAAAGUAGGGGAUGAGCUGUGGGUAGGGGUGAAAGGCCAAACAAAUCCGGAAAUAGCUGGUUCUCUCCGAAAGCUAUUUAGGUAGCGCCUCGCAUAUCACCUUCGGGGGUAGAGCACUGUUAUGGCUAGGGGGCCGUAUAGGUCUACCAAACCAUUGCAAACUCCGAAUACCGAAGAGUGCAAGUGCGGGAGACAGACAUCGGGUGCUAACGUCCGGUGUCAAGAGGGAAACAACCCAGACCGCCGAUUAAGGUCCCAAAGCACAGUUAAGUGGUAAACGAAGUGGGAAGGCUAAAACAGUCAGGAGGUUGGCUUAGAAGCAGCCAUCCUUUAAAGAAAGCGUAAUAGCUCACUGAUCGAGUCGUCCUGCGCGGAAGAUUCAACGGGGCUCAAACUGUGCACCGAAAUCGCGGGUGUGAGCAAUCCACCUGAAGUCGCUUCAAGCCGCCCAAGCUUGGACGAGGCUAACUUUCGCUAGCGAAAGUUAAGCAGCAGCUUGCUGCUGCGGCCGAGGCCAAAGCCACGCACUCACUGAUCGAGCGCGUGGCGCCGGGCGAGACAUCAAGGGAGCGACUUCAGGGGAUUGCUCACGCGGUAGGAGAGCGUUCCGUAAGCCUGCGAAGGUGGCCUGUAAGGGCUGCUGGAGGUAUCGGAAGUGCGAAUGCUGACAUGAGUAGCGAUAAAGAGGGUGAAAAGCCCUCUCGCCGUAAGCCCAAGGUUUCCUGCGCAACGUUCAUCGGCGCAGGGUGAGUCGGUCCCUAAGGCGAGGCCGAAAGGCGUAGUCGAUGGAAAACAGGUCAAUAUUCCUGUACCGCAAUCAGAUGCGAUGGGGGGACGAAGAAGGUUAAGCAAUCCGGGUGUUGGACGUCCCGGUUCAAGCGUGUAGGUGGAUCCGGUAGGCAAAUCCGCUGGGUCAACACUGAGGCGUGACGACGAGUGGGGUUUCCCCGCGAAGUUGCCCAUACCAUGCUUCCAAGAAAAUCCUCUAAGCUUCAGUCUGAUAGCGACCGUACCGUAAUCGGACACACGUGGGCGAGAUGAGUAUUCUCAGGCGCUUGAGAGAACUCGGGUGAAGGAACUCGGCAAAUUAGCACCGUAACUUCGGGAGAAGGUGCGCCUCGAUAAGGUGAAGGGCCUCGCGCCCGGAGCUGUAAGAGGCCGCAGUGAAAUGGUGGCUGCGACUGUUUAAUAAAAACACAGCACUCUGCAAACACGAUAAGUGGACGUAUAGGGUGUGACGCCUGCCCGGUGCCGGAAGGUUAAGUGAUGGGGUGCAAGCUCUUGAUCGAAGCCCCGGUAAACGGCGGCCGUAACUAUAACGGUCCUAAGGUAGCGAAAUUCCUUGUCGGGUAAGUUCCGACCUGCACGAAUGGCGUAACGAUGGCCACACUGUCUCCACCCGAGACUCAGCGAAGUUGAAAUGUUUGCGAAGAUGCAAUCUCCCCGCUGCUAGACGGAAAGACCCUGUGCACCUUUACUGUAGCUUUACAUUGGACUUUGACAAGGUCUGUGUAGGAUAGGUGGGAGGCGUUGAGGCGCGGCCGCUAGGUCGCGCGGAGCCAACCUUGAAAUACCACCCUGAUGUUGUCGAGGUUCUAACCUAGCUCCCUGAACGGGAGCGGGGACCGUGUAUGGCAGGCAGUUUGACUGGGGCGGUCUCCUCCUAAAGGGUAACGGAGGAGUGCGAAGGUACGCUUAGCGCGGUCGGCUAUCGCGCUGAAAGUGCAAUGGCAAAAGCGUGCUUGACUGCGAGACGGACAUGUCGAGCAGGUGCGAAAGCAGGUCAUAGUGAUCCGGUGGUUCUGUAUGGAAGGGCCAUCGCUCAACGGAUAAAAGGUACGCCGGGGAUAACAGGCUGAUUCCCCCCAAGAGUUCACAUCGACGGGGGAGUUUGGCACCUCGAUGUCGGCUCAUCACAUCCUGGGGCUGUAGCCGGUCCCAAGGGUAUGGCUGUUCGCCAUUUAAAGUGGUACGUGAGCUGGGUUUAA
rnacentral:rRNA from 1 species